GAUGAACGCUGGCGGCGUGCCUAAUACAUGCAAGUCGAGCGAACAGACGAGGAGCUUGCUCCUCUGACGUUAGCGGCGGACGGGUGAGUAACACGUGGAUAACCUACCUAUAAGACUGGGAUAACUUCGGGAAACCGGAGCUAAUACCGGAUAACAUGUUGAACCGCAUGGUUCAACAGUGAAAGACGGUCUUGCUGUCACUUAUAGAUGGAUCCGCGCCGCAUUAGCUAGUUGGUAAGGUAACGGCUUACCAAGGCAACGAUGCGUAGCCGACCUGAGAGGGUGAUCGGCCACACUGGAACUGAGACACGGUCCAGACUCCUACGGGAGGCAGCAGUAGGGAAUCUUCCGCAAUGGGCGAAAGCCUGACGGAGCAACGCCGCGUGAGUGAUGAAGGUCUUCGGAUCGUAAAACUCUGUUAUUAGGGAAGAACAAAUGUGUAAGUAACUAUGCACGUCUUGACGAUACCUAAUCAGAAAGCCACGGCUAACUACGUG
rnacentral:rRNA from 1 species